GUGCGUGAGUCUUUAACGGGCCUCGCUGUUUGCAAUGUUUGUGCUUUUGGGGUGUACUUUUUCGUAUGGUAGGCCAACGUCAGUUUCGAUCACCGUAAAAUGAUCGGAGGAAUGUAGCUUCGAUCUCGUAUUGAAGUGUUAUAGCCUCUGGUAGAUGCGGUGACCGAAACUGAGGAUUGCAACGAAUACCCUUCUGGGCUAUCCGUCUGACCUCUGAAAGUUGCUUAGGUGCCGAAAGCGUGCUUACGGCUAUUUAAGUUGACGGUCAACAGGUUAGAACGCGAUUACA
rnacentral:rRNA from 1 species